rnacentral:lncRNA from 1 species
AUAUAUCUGGAUGUCUAUUUAAGAGAAAUAUGAGUUUCAAUAUAUAGAUGUUUAUUUUUCAGAUGUUGUAUCACCUUGCUUUUUACAUUAAAAAUAACUAUGGGACUUGCUUGAUGAUAUUAAAAAGUAACCAAAUUGGAUGUUAUUCUUCAAGACCCGCAAGGUUUCAGCAUGUACUCUAUGUCCCCACAAAUUUGGAAGUGGAUUUUGUGAUUGAGCCUGUGAGACAUUGUGGUGAGGAUGUGAAAGAGAAAGUGGAGCAUCCAUCAAGGCAAAUGUUGGUUGCUUCUUCCUUUGUCUCUCCUACUACAAAGAACAGUAUGGUAGUUACUUAAAAACAAAGGAAUAAAGAGAAAUUAUGAGGGUUUUUGGUUUUUUUU